CCCUUAGAUGUUCUGGGCUGCAUGCGCGCUACACUGAAGCUAUCAACACGUUUUCCCUCCCUGAGAAGGGCGGGUAACCUUUUGAAUCAGCUUCGUGGUAGGGAUCGGGGCUUGCAAUUGUUCCCCGUGAACCAGGAAUUCCUAGUAGACGCGAGUCAUAAGCUCGCAUCGAUUAAGUCCCUGCCCUUUGUACACACCGCCCGUCGCUACUACCGAUUGAACGUUUUAGUGAGGCAUUUGGACCGACGCAUCACAGUUUAACCGCUGGUUUGUGUUGGAAAGACUUCCAAACUUGAGCGUUUAGAGGAAGUAAAAGUCGUAACA
rnacentral:rRNA from 1 species